GACUCCCGAGCUGCCCUUGCCCUAGCUAAAUCGUACAAUGAAUGGUUUAUUCUAUAUGAUUUGUAUUCUGUCAAUUUUUCUCGCACCACCCGUAUCAGGAAACAUUUGCCUUGGAACCCCUGUGGUAGUGACUAUACAAUGUAAAAACAUUUCAACCGGAGAUGGAUAUUAUAAAUACCCCUGGUCUCUGCCUCCGGGUAAAGUGUGUAAAGAUCUUGAAGUCUACGCCGACAAUCAGCCGAUACUACUGGCCCAACAUCCUAACGCAACACUCCCUAAACUAACACAGUGUCGAAACCUGACUGUGAGAUGCAUCUACGAAAUGAAUGGCACUGUAAAUGUGGAUGAGAUGUGCAGGGAAUUUGUCACCGAUUCAGAUGCUUCCUCUUUAUCAGAGCCAGAAAGACCUAAACAACAGUUAAACAACACAAGUGAACAGACUGACGUGGACUCAGUGAAAAAUGAACCAUCACCCAUGGAUCAAAGUACCCAGCCAGUGGCGUUUUGGAUUACUGUUGUUGGGCCGGUGGUGGUGUUGGCGGUGGUGGGCGCAGCGUGGUGGUGUGUACGAAAAAAGAAACCGAUGCCAACCCAGAACCAAGGACUGGAGUUAACUGAAAUGAACAGACCCGACGAUGGUGAUCAGACACCAUCAGGACAUGGGACGGAAAACCUGCUGGAAUGGAGAUUGUAAAGAUUGAGGGCGAGGUAUAGCCUGGGUAUACCCAUGCUGCCAUGCGCGAGAUUUCAUUUUGCCCUGCUAGGCAGCCUGGAUUCCAUGGAUCCGAUGUUCGCUUCAGGGAGGGAACCAGGGCGAGGGGACAGCUAGACGAUGACGACGUCUUUGCCACACUCCAAAGCUUGUACUUUGUUCAUAUCUAUGGAUCCAACAUGGUUGCAAAUGCAAAGUUGCCUUUCGAUGCAGCCUUAGAUAGUGUUCUAAGUAGUUAAGAACGCAAGAUGGUUUAAUUGAUACGAUGGUUUAAUUGAUACGAUUGGCUAUGAGCUACGUACAAACGCAUUUGAUAGACAUUCGUAAACACUCUGGGCAUUCGUAAACCACGCCUUAAAUACGAGAAAAUUAAUGUGUGGUUCCCAGACCAAAUCUCAAUGUAGAUUGAGGUGAGGUCUGGUGUUAGCCAGGAUUGUUGAAGUAUGCAAUUAUAUGAAAAUAGUACAAUGGUAUAGGAGAGACUUAUAUUCACAUGAGAAAGAUAUUUAGCUUUCUAAGUUUAGAUUUAGCUUUCUGCUAAAUCUUAAGUACAUUGCACUUUCUAUAAUGCAUUCUUCAAGAUUUGCAUGUAAAUUAAAAAAAUAUGUAUUAUAAAGUUAAUGAGGGCUGGCAAAUGUCCAGUUGGAAAGUUGUAAAUAU
ensembl:lncRNA